rnacentral:rRNA from 1 species
AGUGAACGCUGGCGGUAGGCCUAACACAUGCAAGUCGAACGGCAGCACAGUAAGAGCUUGCUCUUACGGGUGGCGAGUGGCGGACGGGUGAGGAAUACAUCGGCAUCUACUUUUUCGUGGGGGAUAACGUAGGGAAACUUACGCUAAUACCGCAUACGACCUACGGGUGAAAUCAGGGGAUCUUCGGACCUUGCGCGAUUGAAUGAGCCGAUGUCGGAUUAGCUAGUUGGCUGGGUAAAGGCCCACCAAGGCGACGAUCCGUAGCUGGUCUGAGAGGAUGAUCAGCCACACUGGAACUGAGACACGGUCCAGACUCCUACGGGAGGCAGCAGUGGGGAAUAUUGGACAAUGGGCGCAAGCCUGAUCCAGCAAUACCGCGUGGGUGAAGAAGGCCUUCGGGUUGUAAAGCCCUUUUGUUGGGAAAGAAAAGCAGCAGGUUAAUACCCCGCUGUUCUGACGGUACCCAAAGAAUAAGCACCGGCUAACUUCGUG